UCAAUCAUACGCUCUCAACUUGAAUAUUGUAGUGCAGUUUUUGCUCCAGCAGCAAACAUUCAUCUUCAUAAAUUUAAUGUUAUUCAGAAAAUAGCUUCAAGAAUUAUUACCAGAGCACCGAGUAAUGCUCACUCCUCACCAUUGCAGGAAAAACUUGGAUUGGAAAGUCUUAAAACCAGACGAAACAAUCAUAUCAUCAAUAUGAUUAAUAAAAUGAUUAUGGGAAAAAGUCAUCCUGCAUUUUCUAAUAUGUUUUUUAAUACUGAGGGAGGACUUUUGUGUAGUCGUGAUGAUAGAGCUUCCAGAAUCAAGAUUGGUGACAAAAGAUUCAGCAGAUAUUCAGCAAGCAUAUUCAAUGAAAUGAACACAUGAUUGUAUGUGUUCUAGUUGAGCGCAUUAACAUGGGCCGGCUAUCACAAGAAUAUAUAUAAAGAACACACUAGCUACAAAGAUUACUAAAUUAUUGGAUAUGAUGAACUGAACAGUGCUUCUGACAUGGUUGCUCAAGCGUUAUCAACUCUAAAUAAUAGAUCAACAACAACAACAACCGCUAGCCAAUAUAUCUUAUUUUGAAUUCUGGAACAGAACCCUCCGAAUUGUAGUAAGACGAGCUUUGCUCUACAAAAUUUUGUAAUACUUUUUAGAUUAAAAUGAGUGAAGAUAAUAUUUCUCUAAAUUUUGAGCAUUGAUUAGAUGCACAGCAAAUUGAUGCACAACCAAACACUGCUGAAGCUUUAAAUCCGGCUGCUGCGACAGAAAAUAAGUACAUAUUGGCCAGAUAUGCAAAUGCAAGAAUAAUAGAGCACAAUGUUUCACAGAGUGCAUUAUGUUGUAACUUUCAAUUUAGAAAUGAAAAAAAUGUUGAAGGUUUGCAAUGUUAAA